UACGUAGGUGGCAAGCGUUGUCCGGAUUUACUGGGCGUAAAGAGCGCGCAGGCGGUCAGAUAAGUCGAAUGUGAAAGCCCCCGGCUCAACUGGGGAGGGUCAUUCGAUACUGUUCGACUCGAAGGCAGGAGAGGGAAGUGGAAUUCCCGGUGUAGUGGUGAAAUGCGUAGAUAUCGGGAGGAACACCAGUGGCGAAGGCGACUUCCUGGCCUGUUCUUGACGCUGAAGCGCGAAAGCUAGGGGAGCAAACGGG
rnacentral:rRNA from 1 species